rnacentral:rRNA from 1 species
UGCCUAAUACAUGCAAGUCGAACGCUUCUUUCCUCCCGAGUGCUUGCACUCAAUUGGAAAGAGGAGUGGCGGACGGGUGAGUAACACGUGGGUAACCUGCCCAUCAGAGGGGGAUAACACUUGGAAACAGGUGCUAAUACCGCAUAACAGUUUAUGCCGCAUGGCAUAAGAGUGAAAGGCGCUUUCGGGUGUCGCUGAUGGAUGGACCCGCGGUGCAUUAGCUAGUUGGUGAGGUAACGGCUCACCAAGGCCACGAUGCAUAGCCGACCUGAGAGGGUGAUCGGCCACACUGGGACUGAGACACGGCCCAGACUCCUACGGGAGGCAGCAGUAGGGAAUCUUCGGCAAUGGACGAAAGUCUGACCGAGCAACGCCGCGUGAGUGAAGAAGGUUUUCGGAUCGUAAAACUCUGUUGUUAGAGAAGAACAAGGACGUUAGUAACCGAACGUCCCCUGACGGUAUCUAACCAGAAAGCCACGGCUAACUACGUGCCAGCAGCCACGGUAAUACGUAGGUGGCAAGCGUUGUCCGGAUUUAUUGGGCGUAAAGCGAGCGCAGGCGGUUUCUUAAGUCUGAUGUGAAAGCCCCCGGCUCAACCGGGGAGGGUCAUUGGAAACUGGGAGACUUGAGUGCAGAAGAGGAGAGUGGAAUUCCAUGUGUAGCGGUGAAAUGCGUAGAUAUAUGGAGGAACACCAGUGGCGAAG